rnacentral:rRNA from 1 species
GACGAACGCUGGCGGCGUGCUUAACACAUGCAAGUCGAACGGAAAGGCCCUGCUUUUGUGGGGUGCUCGAGUGGCGAACGGGUGAGUAACACGUGAGUAACCUGCCCUUGACUUUGGGAUAACUUCAGGAAACUGGGGCUAAUACCGGAUAGGAGCUCCUGCUGCAUGGUGGGGGUUGGAAAGUUUCGGCGGUUGGGGAUGGACUCGCGGCUUAUCAGCUUGUUGGUGGGGUAGUGGCUUACCAAGGCUUUGACGGGUAGCCGGCCUGAGAGGGUGACCGGCCACGUUGGGACUGAGAUACGGCCCAGACUCGUACGGGAGGAAGCAGUGGGGAAUAUUGCACAAAGGGCGGAAGCAUGAAGCAACAACGCCGCGUGCGGGAUGACGGAAUUCGGGUUGUAGACCACUUUCGCCUGUAACAAAGCGUGAGUGACGGUAAUGGGUAAAGAAGCACCGGCUAACUACGUG